rnacentral:rRNA from 1 species
GAGCUUGCUCUGCUGGAUCAGUGGCGAACGGGUGAGUAACACGUGAGCAAUCUGCCCCUGACUCUGGGAUAAGCGCUGGAAACGGCGUCUAAUACCGGAUACGAGCUGCGAAGGCAUCUUCAGCAGCUGGAAAGAACUUCGGUCAGGGAUGAGCUCGCGGCCUAUCAGCUAGUUGGUGAGGUAACGGCUCACCAAGGCGUCGACGGGUAGCCGGCCUGAGAGGGUGACCGGCCACACUGGGACUGAGACACGGCCCAGACUCCUACGGGAGGCAGCAGUGGGGAAUAUUGCACAAUGGGCGCAAGCCUGAUGCAGCAACGCCGCGUGAGGGACGACGGCCUUCGGGUUGUAAACCUCUUUUAGCAGGGAAGAAGCGAAAGUGACGGUACCUGCAGAAAAAGCGCCGGCUAACUACGUGCCAGCAGCCGCGGUAAUACGUAGGGCGCAAGCGUUAUCCGGAAUUAUUGGGCGUAAAGAGCUCGUAGGCGGUUUGUCGCGUCUGCUGUGAAAACCCGAGGCUCAACCUCGGGCCUGCAGUGGGUACGGGCAGACUAGAGUGCGGUAGGGGAGAUUGGA